rnacentral:rRNA from 1 species
CAACAGGGAUUGCCCUAGUAACGGCGAGUGAAGCGGCAACAGCUCAAAUUUGAAAUCUGGCCUCGGCCCGAGUUGUAAUUUGCAGAGGAUGUUUCUGGCGCGGUGCCUUCCGAGUUCCCUGGAACGGGACGCCACAGAGGGUGAGAGCCCCGUAUGGUUGGACACCAAGCCUGUGUGAAACUCCUUCGACGAGUCGAGUAGUUUGGGAAUGCUGCUCUAAAUGGGAGGUAAAUCUCUUCUAAAGCUAAAUACCGGCCAGAGACCGAUAGCGCACAAGUAGAGUGAUCGAAAGAUGAAAAGCACCUUGAAAAGGGGGUUAAACAGUACGUGAAAUUGUUGAAAGGGAAGCGCUCAUGACCAGACUUGUGCCGGGCGGUUCAUCCGGGGUUCUCCCCGGUGCACUCCGCCCGGCUCAGGCCAGCAUCGGUUCUCGUUGGGGGAUAAGAACGGUAGGAACGUGGCCCUCCCUCGGGAGGGUGUUAUAGCCUGCCGUACGAUACCCUGAUGGGGACCGAAGUUCGCGCUCCGCAAGGAUGCUGGCGUAAUGGUCAUCAGCGACCCGUCUUGAAACACGGACCAAGGAGUCGUCCAUUAGAGCGAGCGUUUGGGUGUAAAACCCGCACGCGUAAUGAAAGUGAAAUUAGGUGAGAGCUUCGGCGCAUCAUCGACCGAUCCUGAUGUUCUCGGAUGGAUUUGAGUAAGAGUUUUAACGGACGGACCCGAAAGACAGUGAACUAUGCUUGUAUAGGGUGAAGCCAGAGGAAACUCUGGUGGAGGCUCGCAGCGGUUCUGACGUGCAAAUCGAUCGUCAAAUAUGAGCAUGGGGGCGAAAGACUAAUCGAACUGUCUAGUA